UGCCCUGCAGUUCCCUGUGAGCUGUGGUUCCUUGCACCCACCUAUGCUCCCCAAACUAUUAGAAAUUGGUAGCUAUCACCAGAUUGUGAAUUUCUGGCCAGUAGCUCAGGGAAUUGGAAUGAAUCCUAAACCCAGGUCUACUGAAGACUUUGGGGACAUAAUUCUUUAUCAAAUAUACAGCAUUAAUGAAGCUUCUCUGUACUAUUUGAUUAACUUGUAGACUUUUGAGAAGCUUGCCAGAGUGUGUCCCUCAGCCAGGUGUAGUGGCACACAUCUUUAAUCCCAGCACAUAGGCGGCAGAGGCAAGUGGUUGUAUUUCUGAGUUCCAAGCCAGCCUGGUCUACAGAGUGAGUUCUAGGCUAGCCAGGGCUACUCAGAGAAACCUUGUCUCCAAAAAACCAAAUAAAAAAUAAAAUAAAAUAUGGCCUCUGGGUUGGGUUAACACAGUCUAGCUUUGUAACAAUGUGAGACUCUUGGUUCUUAGUGUUCUAUACCCUCUGGUUCUGGGCGUUGUCUCCCACCUGUUCUUCUAAAGCAGGAUAUUGGGAUAUUUUCCAGAGGGGCCAUCCUUACACGAUGUUGGGACUGUCUGAACUGUCGCUAUUUGUAGCCUGGUGAUAUCCCCUUCUUCCCCAGGGCACAGAAAAGCCAAGGGUCAUAUGGCCAGGGCCAACAGCUCCACUAAAGUGACCCACCACUUUUCUAGAAAGCCCGAGACCUCUCCCUUGUUGACCAGAGGGCCUGCUUCUCAUGGGCACUUCAAAUGCCACUGUGCGGGGCCUGGCUCUGCAUACCUAGGAAAAGUCUGCAGACACCCAGCCCUCCGCAAUAAUUCACCAGACCAGAAGCCACUGAUGUACAGAGAACACUUAAGAAAAAAAAAUGUAUUUUAUGUGAAAAAAAAGUUAAAACUCUGUAUACUGUAUCAGCAGCUUUGUGUAAAAAAUGGCAAUCAAAAGAGUCUAAUAUAUUUAAAACUUUUUUAAAAAAAUAUUCUCAUGGAUCUUUGAUAUCGUUCUGAAGCAGCUCCAUGCCUCCAAGAUGGGGUCUGACCAUGUCACCAAGGGGCCUGUGCCUCUGGAGUUACUUCCAGCUGCCAAGGCCUGUGACGGAAUUCAUUGCUAUGGAUUUUUAAUUAAGAUUAUUAAAUUCCUUUUAAU
rnacentral:lncRNA from 1 species